GACGAACGCUGGCGGCGUGCCUAAUACAUGCAAGUUGAGCGCUGAAGGUUGGUACUUGUACCAACUGGAUGAGCAGCGAACGGGUGAGUAACGCGUGGGGAAUCUGCCUUUGAGCGGGGGACAACAUUUGGAAACGAAUGCUAAUACCGCAUAAAAACUUUAAACACAAGUUUUAAGUUUGAAAGAUGCAAUUGCAUCACUCAAAGAUGAUCCCGCGUUGUAUUAGCUAGUUGGUGAGGUAAAGGCUCACCAAGGCGAUGAUACAUAGCCGACCUGAGAGGGGGAUCGGCCACAUUGGGACUGAGACACGGCCCAAACUCCUACGGGAGGCAGCAGUAGGGAAUCUUCGGCAAUGGACGAAAGUCUGACCGAGCAACGCCGCGGGAGGGAAGAAGGGUUUCGGAUCGUAAAACUCGGUUGGUAGGGAAGAACGUUGGUGAGAGUGGAAAGCUCAUCAAGUGACGGUAACUACCCAGAAAGGGACGGCUAACUACGUG
rnacentral:rRNA from 1 species